rnacentral:rRNA from 1 species
AGAGUUUGAUCCUGGCUCAGGAUGAACGCUGGCGGCGUGCCUAAUACAUGCAAGUCGAGCGAACGGACGAGAAGCUUGCUUCUCUGAUGUUAGCGGCGGACGGGUGAGUAACACGUGGAUAACCUACCUAUAAGACUGGGAUAACUUCGGGAAACCGGAGCUAAUACCGGAUAAUAUUUUGAACCGCAUGGUUCAAAAGUGAAAGACGGUCUUGCUGUCACUUAUAGAUGGAUCCGCGCUGCAUUAGCUAGUUGGUAAGGUAACGGCUUACCAAGGCAACGAUGCAUAGCCGACCUGAGAGGGUGAUCGGCCACACUGGAACUGAGACACGGUCCAGACUCCUACGGGAGGCAGCAGUAGGGAAUCUUCCGCAAUGGGCGAAAGCCUGACGGAGCAACGCCGCGUGAGUGAUGAAGGUCUUCGGAUCGUAAAACUCUGUUAUUAGGGAAGAACAUAUGUGUAAGUAACUGUGCACAUCUUGACGGUACCUAAUCAGAAAGCCACGGCUAACUACGUGCCAGCAGCCGCGGUAAUACGUAGGUGGCAAGCGUUAUCCGGAAUUAUUGGGCGUAAAGCGCGCGUAGGCGGUUUUUUAAGUCUGAUGUGAAAGCCCACGGCUCAACCGUGGAGGGUCAUUGGAAACUGGAAAACUUGAGUGCAGAAGAGGAAAGUGGAAUUCCAUGUGUAGCGGUGAAAUGCGCAGAGAUAUGGAGGAACACCAGUGGCGAAGGCGACUUUCUGGUCUGUAACUGACGCUGAUGUGCGAAAGCGUGGGGAUCAAACAGGAUUAGAU